ACGAACGCUGCGGCGUGCCUAACACAUGCAAGUCAACUUGACUGAAGGAGCAAUCUGACAGUAGAGUGGCGCAAGGGUGCGUAACGCGUAAGUAACUUGCCCAAGGUAAGGAAUAACGUCGAGAAAUCGGCGCUAAUACCUCAUAAUGCAGCGGAUCCGCAUGGAUAUGUUGUUAAGGUUUACCGCCUUGGGAUAGGCUUGCGUCUGAUUAGCUAGUUGGUGUGGUAACGGCACACCAAGGCUACGAUCAGUAACUGGUCUGAGAGGAUGAUCAGUCACACUGGAACUGAGACACGGUCCAGACUCCUACGGGAGGCAGCAGUGAGGAAUAUUGGGCAAUGCUCGAAAGAGUGACCCAGCAACGCCGCGUGGAGGAUGAAGGUAUUCUAUAUCGUAAACUCCUGUGAGAGCAGACGAAAGACAGAUUAUUAAUCUGGAUGACUGUAUGCUCAGAGGAAGCCCCGGCUAACUACGUG
rnacentral:rRNA from 1 species